AUUCCAGAGCUCCCACAGAUGACAGCGCGCGGUCUCCACCGUGGCCAGGGGCUCCGAAAUAGCCCUCGCGUCCCGGCGGAGCCUUGCAGGCCACUGUGCCUGGCGCGGGACAGGCGUUUGGCUCGGUGCGCGCCGCCGCCAGGGAAGAGCCUGGGUUUGGGGGUGGGGGAAGCAGCGGGGGGGCCGACGGCAGUGCAGUCCCCAGCGCCCCCGCGGCCACUUUGCUCCUAGCUUCUGGAGUUCCAGCUGCUGUGAGCUGCCACCCAUCGCUGGACUCUGCACACACUGCUUUUUGUCUUGUAAAAUCAGAGGUCCGGACCGCUGUGGGCAGGCAUUGCUGCAGAUUGGGAUUAACAUGAUGGCACUGCCUGGAGGCCGCCACCUGGAUUCCGUUCCUCUGCAAGAGCAGAGGCUACACUUCAUGCAGGUAGACUCGGUUCAGCGCUGGAUGGAGGAUCUGAAGCUCAUGACCGAGUGUGAGUGCAUGUGCGUCUUGCAGGCAAAGCCCAUCAGCCUGGAGGAAGACACGCAAGGUGACCUUAUCCUAGCAGGUGGUCCUGGUCCAGGAGAUCCUCUACAGCUGCUCUUGAAACGGGGCUGGGUCAUCAGCACCGAGCUUCGAAGGAUCGGGCAGAAGCUGGCCCAGGACCGCUGGGCCCGUGUGCACAGCAUGAGUGUGCGUCUGACGUGCCAUGCACGCUCCAUGGUCAGCGAGUACAGCACCAUCAGCAGGACAGCCUCACAGGAAAUGGGCCAGGCGGAGAAGCUGCUCAUGGAGAAAUGCUCUGAGCUCUCUGCGGUCACGGAGAGGUAAGUGCCUCCAGGUGGAAAAUGAGCAUGUUCUGAAGUCAAUGAAGGCCUGCGUGAGUGAGACCCUGAGCCUGCUGGGCGAGCACUUUGGUCAGCUACUGGAGCUGGCCCUCACACGGGAAGUGCAGGCACUUGUGAGAAAAAUCGAUACCUCAGACAAUAUCUACAUCACGGAGUCUACCACAGGGAAUCUGUUCGGCCUGACCCAGGAGGGGGCUCCUCUGUGCCGCAUCAUAGCCAAGGAAGGUGGGGUUGUAGCCCUCUUCAAGGUCUGCCGGCAGGACAGCUUCCGGUGCUUGUACCCCCAGGCACUCCGCACACUGGCCUCUAUCUGCUGUGUAGAAGAGGGUGUCCAUCAGCUGGAGAAGGUGGACGGUAUCCUGUGCUUGGCUGACAUCUUGACUGAUGAGAGCCACUCGGAGGCCACUAGAGCUGAGGCUGCAGCCGUGGUAGCCCAGGUUACCUCCCCACAUCUGUCCUUCACCCAGCACCUCACUAGCUUCCUGGAGAACAUGGAGGAGAUUGUGACAGCCCUUAUCAAACUGUGCCAAGAGGCCUCGUCAGGGGAAGUCUUCCUGCUGGCCUCUGCGGCCCUCGCCAAUAUCACCUUCUUCGACAAAAUGGCCUGUGAGAUGCUUCUACAGUUGAAUGCAAUCCGUGUCCUCCUGGAAGCCUGUGGUGACAAGCAGAGAGUGGACACCCCUUAUACUCGGGACCAGAUUGUGACCAUCUUGGCAAACAUGUCUGUGCUGGAGCAGUGUGGCUCUGACAUCAUUCAGGAGAACGGUGUCCAGCUCAUCAUGGGCAUGCUGUCUGAGAAGCCAAGGUCUGGGACACCUGCUGAAGUGGCAGCCUGUGAAAGAGUACAGCAGAAAGCUGCAGUGACCCUGGCCCGCCUCUGCCGAGACCCAGAUGUGGCCCAGGAGGCCGUUCGGCUCAGCUGUAUGUCUCGCCUGAUUGAGCUCUGCCGGUCCCCCUCUGAGAGGAACAGUAGUGAUGCUGUCCUGGUGGCCUGCCUGGCUGCCCUGCGUCGGUUGGCCGGGGUCUGCCCGGAAGGCCUUCAGGACUCUGACUUCCAGCAGCUGGUCCAGCCUCGGCUGGUGGAUUCCUUCUUACUGUGUAGCAAUAUGGAGGAGAGUUUUGUGUAGUGAGCAUGAGAGAGAAGGCACACUGUGUGCACUUACCACGCUAGCUCUCUUCAGCUCCUUAUUUAUAUGUAAUUUAUUUUUUACAUGAAAUAGAAAGGGAAUCUUUAUCAGUGAGUAGCUGGUCCUCGGGGACCCCUACCCCCCCACUUCUGUGACUAGGUGCAGAAGUUGAAUUGUGUCAAGGCUAACAUGACAGGUUGUCACAGGUGACUCCCCUUCAUACUGCUCCCUCUCUUCUCAGCAUAUAUUCUUGCCUGUUUAAAAAACAAGACAAAACAAAACAAAAAAGCCCAACUUUGAACCAGGGCAUUUUAACUGCCCAGCAUUUUUUAAAAGUUAGUUUUACUCUUUUGAGAAAUUUAAAUUGAAUUUUGCAGUUUGAAAGAUAUACUGUAAGAAAAUGUUUUUCUUUAAUAAAUGGAAUCAUGGAAA